rnacentral:rRNA from 1 species
AUUGAACGCUGGCGGCAGGCCUAACACAUGCAAGUCGGACGGUAGCACAGAGAGCUUGCUCUCGGGUGACGAGUGGCGGACGGGUGAGUAAUGUCUGGGGAUCUGCCCGAUAGAGGGGGAUAACCACGGGAAACGGUGGCUAAUACCGCAUAACGUCGCAAGACCAAAGCGGGGGACCUUCCGGCCUCUCACUAUCUGAUGAACCCAGAUGGGAUUAGCUAGUAGGCGGGGUAACGGCCCCACUCGGCGACGAUCCCUAGCUGGUCUGAGAGGAUGACCGGCCACACUGGAACUGAGACGCGGUCCAGACUCCUACGGGAGGCAGCAGUGGGGAAUAUUGCACAAUGGGCGCAAGCCUGAUGCAGCCAUGCCGCGUGUAUGAAGAAGGCCUUCGGGUGGUAAAGUACUUUCAGCGGGGAGGAAGGCGAUGUGGUUAAUAACCGCGUCGAUUGACGUUACCCGCAGAAGAAGCACCGGCUAACUCCGUGCCAGCCGCCGCGGUAA